rnacentral:rRNA from 1 species
AGUGAACGCUGGCGGUAGGCCUAACACAUGCAAGUCGAACGGCAGCACAGUAAGAGCUUGCUCUUACGGGUGGCGAGUGGCGGACGGGUGCGGAAUACAUCGGAAUCUACUUUUUCGUGGGGGAUAACGCAGGGAAACUUACGCUAAUACCGCAUACGACCUACGGGUGAAAGCAGGGGAUCUUCGGACCUUGCGCGAUUGAAUGAGCCGAUGUCGGAUUAGCUAGUUGGCGGGGUAAAGGCCCACCAAGGCGACGAUCCGUAGCUGGUCUGAGAGGAUGAUCAGCCACACUGGAACUGAGACACGGUCCAGACUCCUACGGGAGGCAGCAGUGGGGAAUAUUGGACAAUGGGCGCAAGCCUGAUCCAGCCAUACCGCGUGGGUGAAGAAGGCCUUCGGGUUGUAAAGCCCUUUUGUUGGGAAAGAAAAGCAGCAGGUUAAUACCCCGCUGUUCUGACGGUACCCAAAGAAUAAGCACCGGCUAACUUCGUG